rnacentral:rRNA from 1 species
AGCGAACGCUGGCGGCAGGCCUAACACAUGCAAGUCGAGCGCCGUAGCAAUACGGAGCGGCAGACGGGAGAGUAACACGUGGGAACGUGCCCUUUGGUUCGGAACAACCCAGGGAAACUUGGGCUAAUACCGGAUAAGCCCUUACGGGGAAAGAUUUAUCGCCGAAGGAUCGGCCCGCGUCUGAUUAGCUAGUUGGUGGGGUAAUGGCCCACCAAGGCGACGAUCAGUAGCUGGUCUGAGAGGAUGAUCAGCCUAACUGGGACUGAGACACGGCCCAGACUCCUACGGGAGGCAGCAGUGGGGAAUAUUGGACAAUGGGCGCAAGCCUGAUCCAGCCAUGCCGCGUGGGUGAUGAAGGCCCUAGGGUUGUAAAGCCCUUUCGGCGGGGAAGAUAAUGACGGUACCCGCAGAAGAAGCCCCGGCUAACUUCGUGCCAGCCGUCGCAGUAA